rnacentral:lncRNA from 1 species
GUUCCUUUCCAAAUAACUUGUCAAACAUCGUUUAUUUUUGUAAAUUUUCUUGCAUUCGUCCGCCAUUGACCGAUUUCUAAACUACGGAUCUGAACCGGACCAGCUAUGACCGAAAUCCGUACUUUUACAGUAAUAACUACGGACGCACGGAUGGAACAGCUGACAGAAGAAUAUUGAUCCCAAAGGGAAAAAUUACAUAUUCCACAAGCAUUAAGAGAUUUUUGGUUACAUCUAAUUGAUUGGUGUAUAUAAUUCCCUAUAUUUUUUAUGGAUUGUUUCAAAGUUGCUUAACUCUGAGACUAUUAAUUAUAUUAUGGCC